CAGAUAGCUCAGUCGGUAGAGCAGGGGACUGAAAAUCCCCGUGUCGGUGGUUCGAUUCCGCCUCUG
rnacentral:tRNA from 1 species